rnacentral:rRNA from 1 species
CCCUAUGGGGUGCCGCAGGCGGAAUGAUAAGUCAGUGGUGAAAUCCUACGGCUCAACUGUAGAACUGCCAUUGAUACUGUUGUUCUUGAGUACACUUGGAGUGGGCGGAAUGUGUCAUGUAGCGGUGAAAUGCUUAGAUAUGACACAGAACACCGAUCGCGAAGGCAGCUCACUAAGUUGUAACUGACGCUCAGGCACGAAAGCGUUGGGAUCAACCA